GACGAACGCUGGCGGCGUGCUUAACACAUGCAAGUCGAACGGUGAAGGAGAGCUUGCUCUCCGGAUCAGUGGCGAACGGGUGAGUAACACGUGGGCAACCUGCCCCAGACUUCGGGAUAACGCUUCGAAAGAGGUGCUAAUACCGGAUACGAACUCCUUGGGCAUCCUUGGAGUUGGAAAGUUUUUCGGUCUGGGAUGGGCCCGCGGCCUAUCAGCUUGUUGGUGAGGUAACGGCUCACCACGGCGACGACGGGUAGCCGGCCUGGGAGGGCGACCGGCCACACUGGGACUGAGACACGGCCCAGACUCCUACGGGAGGCAGCAGUGGGGAAUAUUGCGCAAUGGGCGAAAGCCUGACGCAGCAACGCCGCGUGAGGGAUGACGGCCUUCGGGUUGUAAACCUCUUUCAGCAGGGAAGAAGCGAAAGUGACGGUACCUGCAGAAGAAGCACCGGCUAACUACGUGCCAGCCGCCGCCGUAA
rnacentral:rRNA from 1 species